CAGACACAGAAUUCAUCCUUAAUUCUGACCAGAUAUUCCAAACAAGGGAAGAAAGCAAAAAUGUGUGAGAAUUCAAACAAAUCUUUCCCAUUCUGUCAGCAUCUUCGUUUUUAUACAUGGUGAAAAUUUUAUAAGCAUAAAGACUUUGAUGCCGGAAUUGACAUGAUGCAGAAUCACCUUGAGAAACUAACUGGACGAUGUUUGCGGGAAUGCUAGCAGGACCAAACGGAAGGUCACAGAUACUCUGGCUGUACCCAGUCACUACAGAUGGGAUGGUGCUGCUCAGGUAAAGACAGAAUAUCUUCUCCUGCUUCUGUUCACCUUCCCCAGGUGAGCACUACCAUUGUGUCACCUCACUGCCAAACUCUCCUCGAUGCCAUUUCCCCCAAGAUUGUGGCUUUUUGGUUGACAUCAUGGAAAACAAAAUCUCCAAGCCUUCUUCAUUUUUCUUCCUGAACCACAGUGUUAAGCUCUUCUUGGUCCCAUGAGGGGAUAGAAAGAUGUAAGAUGGGGA
rnacentral:lncRNA from 1 species